rnacentral:misc_RNA from 1 species
UCUAAUAUCUUUGAAGUUUAUACGAUGCAAAAAAUUUGUGCAUAGAAAGUGCAAGUAAAACAAACAAAUUUAGCGUUUUGCGAGUUGUUGCGAGACUUUUGUGAUAAAAAAUAUAAGUACCAAAUUCUGUUUUUAAAUCACAUUUAAUUGAAAUGAUAUAACUUCGAAUGGAAUUCCUGAAGUGUCAAAUAAAUUUGUCGAUCUCCUAAUUGAUACAGAGACAUAUGUAUUCUUUUCAUAAAAUUUUUCGAUUUUAAAUGGAGCAUUUAAUCUCCUCACAUAUAAGGAUAGUACAGAUGCGAUGACCAAUGUUCUUGGCUGUGGUGAAGGUAUUAACAGUGAGGACAGUAAUAAUGGAUAGUCUAUUUACUCAAAAUGUUCUCGACGAAACAGAGGACAUACCGCAAACAGAUGAACCUAUUUGGAUUCUUGGCAAGAAAUACAAUGCUUUAAAAGAGCUCGAUAUGAUACGUAGAGACAUCCGAUCCAUGCUAUGGUUUACUUAUCGCAAAGGUUUUAUUCCCAUCGGUGGUUGUAACUCCACAUUUACAUCUGACAAAGGUUGGGGCUGUAUGUUAAGAUGCGGUCAGAUGGUUCUUGCCCAAGCUUUAAUUACAUUACAUUUAGGUAAAGAUUGGCAAUGGAUGCCAGAAACAAAGAACAGCACAUAUUUGAAAAUUUUAAGCCGCUUUGAAGAUAAAAGAGCUGCUGCUUUUUCCAUUCAUCAAAUUGCAUUAAUGGGUGCAUCAGAAGGAAAGGAAGUAGGACAAUGGUUUGGCCCUAAUACCAUUGCACAAGUAUUAAAAAAAUUAGUCGUAUAUGAUGAAUGGAGCUCCAUCACUAUACAUGUUGCACUAGACAAUACAUUAAUAAUUAAUGAUAUUUUAAGACAGUGUAGGAUAGAAGGUGGUACGACCGCGGAAAUAGAUGGAGAAGUACCUUUAAAGGCACCUGGCCAAUGGAAACCUUUAUUAUUGUUAAUUCCAUUACGCCUUGGACUCAGCGAGAUUAAUCCUAUAUACAUUAAUGGACUUAAGACGUCAUUUAAGAUUACACAGUCCAUGGGAGUGAUUGGAGGAAAACCCAAUCUUGCUUUAUAUUUUAUAGGCUGCGUAGGGGAUGAAGUGAUUUAUUUGGAUCCUCAUACUACACAGAAAUCAGGUAGUAUUGAAGACAAGAUGAAUGAAGAAGAAGUUGAAAUGGAUACUACAUAUCACUGCAAAUCAGCUAGUCGCAUUCCUAUUACAGGCAUGGAUCCUUCUGUGGCACUCUGCUUCUUCUGUGCUACAGAAAAAGAAUUUAAAUCUUUAUGUAAAUCAAUGCAAGAAGAAUUAAUUUUGCCUGAGAAACAACCAUUAUUUGAGCUCUGCAAAGAACGUUUAACACAUUGGACACCAGCAGAUGAUGUUGCUUCUGAAGCAAUAGCAACUUCUAGUUUGCACCACUGUGCGCCGUCGCGUCGAGCAGCUAUUAAGACUUGGUCCUGACGUUCAUCGUCCCCGGCUGCCGAUAGCGCCUCUUCCCCGGCUGAAGGAGCGGACGCCUCCCCUUGGUCGCGGUCAGCGUUGCUCACAUGGACGUUAAGGAGUUCCCUGGGGAGAUGAUGCGGCGGAUCUUGCGGCGGUAUCCCACCGCUGCCACCAAAAUGUUGCGACCGGGACGGUCUUGGGGAUGUGGGGUACCGUCGUGAGUUUGUGGGAGCCUCGGGUGCCGGAAGUAGCCGCAGGGAUUUAAUUCCUAUUUUGAGUUUCUUG